UAUCUGCAACAAAAAUGUGAAUGUAAGGUUUAAGUAAACGGUUGCUGCGGUUUUCAUUAUUUUAUCGCGUUUUGCUACAUUAGCCGAUGAAAAAUCCGUUAAUUCCAUAACGAACAAUUAUAGAAGCAUAACUUGUGUAAGUCUGUUGUGCGCCAAAUAAAGUUGUGUCACCCAAAAAUGCCAUCGGGUUUACCAAGAAAAAAGAGUUGCGGAUGACAGUUUUCUUAAGUGGUCCUGGAACCCAUUUGCUGCCAAAUUUAAAAGAACCAUCGCUGAUUAUUAUGGACAAUGUUAGUUAUCACAGUAGCUUACUGGAAAACUUGCUAUAAAUUCUUCCUGGACAAAACGACAACUACAGGCAUGGCUACCGCACAAAAAUUUGGAGUUUCCAAAUGAAGCAUUAAACUUGGUGGAGACUGUUGCAAUUUAUGUUGUUAGUUCAAUUUAUAUUGCCUGUUUGUAAUCUCUUGACAUUUUAUACCUUAUGAUAUGCUGUGACAACCCAAUAAUACUUUGUAAUCGGUAUGGGGAUAAAUAUAACUAAACUAAAACUAAA